CACGUAGGGGGCGAGCGUUGUCCGGAUUUAUUGGGCGUAAAGAGCUCGUAGGCGGCUCGGUAAGUCGGGUGUGAAAACUCGGGGCUCAACCCCGAGACGCCACUCGAUACUGCCAUGGCUAGAGUCCGGUAGGGGAGCGUGGAAUUCCUGGUGUAGCGGUGAAAUGCGCAGAUAUCAGGAGGAACACCGGUGGCGAAGGCGGCGCUCUGGGCCGGAACUGACGCUGAGGCGCGAAAGCGUGGGGAGCGAUCCGG
rnacentral:rRNA from 1 species